CUUUUCUAUCCCUCCCACAGUUUUCUUUCUUUUUCUUUUUCUUUUUCUUUUUAAACUUGACAACUGAAGAAUAAACUCCUUUGGGGAGGAGUGGCGAUGAAGAGUUAAGCGGGGUUUUUGUAUUGGAGGGGAAAAAAAAGAAAGAAAAGAAAAGAAAAUAGAUAUAAGAAAAGAGGGCAGGAGAGCAAUGGAGUUUUGGAAAGCUGGAGCAGUUAUUCCUCCAUCCGUGCGAAGAGUCAAAAAGUUAGAAUGGAGAAUUCAGGCGCUCAUAUGGAGCAAGGUAACGUUUCUCUCUCUCUUAUCACCUUUGCUGAUAUGAAUCUGCAGCAAAAUUCUCUUCGUAGCUAGUUGGGGUAAUUGUU